UACGAAGGGUGCAAGCGUUAAUCGGAAUUACUGGGCGUAAAGCGCGCGUAGGUGGUUCAGUAAGUUGGAAGUGAAAUCCCCGGGCUCAACCUGGGAAUUGCAUUCAAAACUGGCCAACUAGAAUACGGGAGAGGGGGGUAGAAUUCCAAGUGUAGCGGUGAAAUGCGUAGAGAUUUGGAGGAAUACCAGUGGCGAAGGCGGCCCCCUGGCCCGAUAUUGACGCUGAGGUGCGAAAGCGUGGGGAGCAAACAGG
rnacentral:rRNA from 1 species